rnacentral:tRNA from 1 species
GUUAGGAUGGCCGAGUGGUCUAAGGUGCCAGACUCAAGUUCUUGUCGUCGUAAGAGGGCAUGGGUUUAAAUCACACUUCUAAUA